rnacentral:rRNA from 1 species
GAUGAACGCUGGCGGCGUGCCUAAUACACGCAAGUCGAGCGAACGGACGAGAAGCUUGCUUCUCUGAUGUUAGCGGCGGACGGGUGAGUAACACGUGGAUAACCUACCUAUAAGACUGGGAUAACUUCGGGAAACCGGAGCUAAUACCGGAUAAUAUUUUGAACCGCAUGGUUCAAAAGUGAAAGACGGUCUUGCUGUCACUUAUAGAUGGAUCCGCGCUGCAUUAGCUAGUUGGUAAGGUAACGGCUUACCAAGGCAACGAUGCAUAGCCGACCUGAGAGGGUGAUCGACCACACUGGAACUGAGACACGGUCCAGACUCCUACGGGAGGCAGCAGUAGGGAAUCUUCCGCAAUGGGGGAAAGCCUGACGGAGAAACGCCGCGUGAGUGAUGAAGGUCUUCGGAUCGUAAAACUCUGUUAUUAGGGAAGAACAUAUGUGUAAGUAACUGUGCACAUCUUGACGGUACCUAAUCAGAAAGCCACGGCUAACUACGUG